AGAGGCCAGUGAUGAUCUUAUGGUUUUGCCUACAUCGCCUGACUAUAUAUAUGAUAAUGCUAUGGACCUUUCUGAGGCCUCU